rnacentral:lncRNA from 1 species
UCUAAAAUAAUCAGAAUGGAAGUAUUAGUGCCAGCUUGAAAAGAGCUGGUAAUUUAGUGCUCAAGUAUCUCCGGGGGAGGAGGAGGGGAGACAGCUCUCUGUCUUACAAAGGUUUUUCUGAUGAAGGAAUAAACCAAGAGUUUUAGCACCGUGUUUUAACUCUCAGGAGCCGACUCUAACCUUCAUUCCUUCAACAUCUUUUGGAUAACGGUUAAUCGCUCUUUUCCUGGGACAGAAAAGUAAGUAGAGGAGAAAUGGCAAAGCAGGUGCACUCUGAAGGAGAAAUGGGGUAGUUGGCCGGGUUUAUGCAAAUAUAGUUCCGGCAAGUCAAUUUUCAGAGCAUUUCGAGGCUCCCUCUGGCAACCGUCCACCGCUGAGCGUCCGUGUGCGCACGCGGCACUCCACUGACAAGCGGCUGCUGUUAGAACAUUGGACGCUUGGGAUACUGACAUGCUCUCCCUAAAAGCGGUCGUCAGUGUACCUUCCCUGGGCCAAAGACCACGUGAACAUGUGGAUGACUUGCGUCAUGGAUUUCGAGAAAGGAUUGAGUCCCAUCGCGGGGAGAGCCUCCUUGCAGGCCCGUAUCUGUGGGUCAGGUCGGGGUAUCGUGGUGACGUUGGUGCCCUGGGACUUUUACUUCGCAUCUUUAUCACGACUGGUUUGGACAGAAGUGAAGAAUAAAGAGGAGUAAAUGCUCUGAAAUGGAAGGACUCGUGUAAAAAACACCAUUGUGGAAAGAAAGAAGAGUAUGUUUUUAACGAGGUCACAAACUAGAAACUUUGAAAGAGCAAUUAUUCAAAUAAAGGAACUGAACUUGUUAGUGAUUAUGAAUUA